rnacentral:rRNA from 1 species
CAUCCUGGCGGCGAGUGGCGAACGGGUGAGUAAUACAUCGGAACGUGCCCAAUCGUGGGGGAUAACGCAGCGAAAGCUGUGCUAAUACCGCAUACGAUCUACGGAUGAAAGCAGGGGAUCGCAAGACCUUGCGCGAAUGGAGCGGCCGAUGGCAGAUUAGGUAGUUGGUGAGGUAAAGGCUCACCAAGCCUUCGAUCUGUAGCUGGUCUGAGAGGACGACCAGCCACACUGGGACUGAGACACGGCCCAGACUCCUACGGGAGGCAGCAGUGGGGAAUUUUGGACAAUGGGCGCAAGCCUGAUCCAGCCAUGCCGCGUGCAGGAUGAAGGCCUUCGGGUUGUAAACUGCUUUUGUACGGAACGAAACGGCCUUUUCUAAUAAAGAGGGCUAAUGACGGUACCGUAAGAAUAAGCACCGGCUAACUACGUGCCAGCAGCCGCGGUAAUACGUAGGGUGCAAGCGUUAAUCGGAAUUACUGGGCGUAAAGCGUGCGCAGGCGGUGAUGUAAGACAGUUGUGAAAUCCCCGGGCUCAACCUGGGAACUGCAUCUGUGACUGCAUUGCUGGAGUACGGCAGAGGGGGAUGGAAUUCCGCGUGUAGCAGUGAAAUGCGUAGAUAUGCGGAGGAACACCGAUGGCGAAGGCAAUCCCCUGGGCCU